UUCAUCCAAGGUUUGGGGUAGAAAGUUAUUUUCAUUUUAUUAAUACUUGUCAAGCCCUUGUGUUUAAUGUUAGACACAGUGUGGGGUGCUAGGGAGAGUGAUAGAGAAAAUAAAUUCCCUGCUUUGGUUUGCUUCCAGCAGUGGGUGUAUUGCAAAAUUUGUUUGCACGAACGUACAAAUACAUUUUUGAGUUUUGAGAAGGUAGCUUUGGACCUAGCAGCACAUGUUUUCCUGAUAUUGCAAGUGUGCAGGUUGAGAAGCUUGGGAAGCACUGUUCUGCCAGGACUUUGGGGAGAAAGUUUGGGGGUGGUCAUGCCUACUUGCUCUUCUGUUCUGCCUAGUGGUAAGUAUUUUCUGGAGCUUCUGCUGAAGGAGA
rnacentral:lncRNA from 1 species